GACGAACGCUGGCGGCGUGCUUAACACAUGCAAGUCACGGGGGCCCGCAAGGGCAACCGGCGAACGGGUGCGUAACACGUGAGCAAUCUGCCGAUCUCUGGGGGAUAGCCAGCCUAACGGCUGGGUAAUACCGCAUACGCUCAUUGGGGGGAUUCCCCCGGUGAGGAAACCUCCGGGGGAGAUCGAGGAGCUCGCGACCUAUCAGCUAGUUGGCGGGGUAACGGCCCACCAAGGCAGCGACGGGUAGCUGGUCUGAGAGGAUGGCCAGCC
rnacentral:rRNA from 1 species